rnacentral:misc_RNA from 1 species
ACCUCUACGCAUGUUUUGAUGACGUCAUUAAAAAAAACCAACUUUUUUAUAUCUGUUCGAAAAGACAGCCGUGAAUGAUUUUUCUCAUGUGACAUCAACGUUUAACCAAUGGCCGCUGGUUAGAGUGCUGCGAUUAGGUUCGUGUAACGCAAACAAAAAUCGAUGCAUGCCACUCCCGACUGAAAACGAGGCAAACGAAGAAAAGAGUCGUUUCCUACGUGGCUAAGCAUUGUCAACAUGGCCGCUGUCGACUCGCUGGUAAAUGGUAUUAGUAAUUUGCAAGUAAAUAGUUCACAUAUUGAUGGACACAAAAGUGAUGAUCGGACAGAUGAAUUUUCAUUGCAAUGGGGGUUCCCCCUUGAAGACCUGUACAAGAUUGCAUUGAAAUUUUUCAAAGAGAAAGAAGGAAAAGCCCUCCAGCUCACAUACAAAGACAAACUCCGCCUUGUGGCAUACACUAAACAAGUCCUCCAUGGAAAGUUUCGCAGUGAUGCAGUGCCAGAUGUAGGAUUUUUGGAUGUUGUUGGAAAUGAUCGAAGUACUGAUCCUGAAGAAUGGCAAGCAUGGCAGAUAUUGGGGAAUAUGCCCAAAGAGACUGCAAUGACAGAGUUUGUGGAGCAGUUAGAUGCUAUGUGUCCACUCUUUCGACCUUAUGUGCAGGCUCACAAGACAGAAAAGGAAGAAAAACUGCGGAAACAGCAAGAAGAGGAAGCGUUGCAUAGAAAGGAAGAAGAGGAGAAGCACAUGCUGGAGGCAGAAGAUGCAGCUCGCAAACAGCAAGAAGCUGAGAGACAACGUCAGCAUGAGCAAGAGUUGCAGAUAAGGGCAGCACUCAAUCAGCAGACUGCCCAUCAGUUCAGACAGUACUCUCAACAGCAGUAUCCAGGCAAUUCACAAAUGCAGGAGGAGCUCAUUCGUCAACUGCAGGAGCAGCACUACCAGCAGUACAUGCAACAGGUCUAUCAGCAGCAGCUCUUGCACCAACAACAGCAGUUUCAACAGCUUCAAAAUACUUAUAAAAACCAGGGAGCCUCUUCUAAUUCAGCACAGGGUUCAAAUGGUUCAUUUUGUCCAGCUACCAAUGGCUCAAGUGCUGGUGAUGGUGGUACUGAAGGACAAGGGGAUGAAGAUGGUGAAGUAGGCGAUAGUGCUGCAGGUGAAGAAGCCUCCCUGCCACCAAUGCCCAAAAUAGUGCCUGCCUCACUGUGGACACGUAAAGAUUUGAAGGAAUUUAAAAAUGGUCUACGCAAAAGUAAAGAGAAUGUCAUUUCAGUACCUUCUCUUGGAACAGCUACGGUCAGAGUACCAACACAUGAAGAUGGUACUUGCUUGUUUUGGGAGUUUGCAACUGACAGUUAUGACAUCGGCUUUGGUGUUUAUUUUGAAUGGACAAUAGCCCCCAGUAACACAGUCAGUGUCCACAUCAGUGAGUCUAGUGACGAGGAGGAACAGGAGGAGUCAGACGCAGGAGGAUAAUUGGUAUCAAACAGGGGGAUUUAGCUUCUUUCUGUGAUCAACUAAACAGGAAAGCUUCACGCCUUUUGUCAACACCUGAACAUGUACUAACUGUACUUUACAUGUACUUUACUUUUAGACUAAAGGAGAUGUUGAGAAGGGUGGAAAAUCUCAAGAAAAUAAACCACCUACAGAUGAGAUAAUUCCAGUCUACCGACGGGACUGUCAUGAAGAAGUUUACUGUGGAAGUCAUGUGUAUCCAGG